rnacentral:lncRNA from 1 species
GAUGGACAACCCAGCUGGCUCAUGCUCCGUUUUGAUGAGGUUCUGGGAAGCAAGCCAGAUAAGGAAGUUUCCUGAUGCCCACAAAGUUUAAAUAACGGACUCGAGGUUACCCAGCAAUAAAUGUUGAAAAAGAGUUUAAAUUAGUUGGCUUUCAGAGUUUGUGUUUUGGACAACUAUAUUCUACUUUGGACAGCACUGUAUUUUCUCAUUGUAAAAGCAGGCAGGAUGGAGUAAAAAAUAAAAGUCAAAACAAUUUGAAAACAA